AACCGAGGGGGCUAAACCACCUCCUACUUUCACUCAGGCCUUACUUCCCCUCUUUUUGUCCCAAGAGUCCUCCUCUCCCCUUCUUCUCAUCCCUCUUUACCCUAUUCUGGAGGCCACAACUAAGCGGAUCACGAGGCUUGUUCUAAGAACACAUAGCCUUGCCCCCCUCUUUCUUUCUCUAACUUUCACUUUCUUUUUCUUUCUUUUUUCAAUUUUCCCUUUUUUUCCCUUUGGAUUGUUCUAUCGUAUUUGUCCAACCCAACCUUCCGCUCAGCAUGUAGUUUACGAUCGAACAAAGGCUGCAAAUGGCACGUCAUCACAGCAUAAGUGCAACAGGUUUGAAAGAUGAGUAUUUUUUAGUAAUAUGCUAUCGUUUAUGUAAAAAAAAACGUAUCAGUGGAUGAGAUAGAAAACAAGCAUAUUAUUAAGAUAUCAUUUGGAAUCAAUAAAUAUUUGUACAGCAAUUAUCAAUUGGCAAAUAUUCCAUUACAGUGGAUGUUGUAAAUUAAAAAAAAAAAAAAAAAAAGAAAAACA